rnacentral:rRNA from 1 species
GGCAGGCUUAACACAUGCAAGUCGAGCGCCCCGCAGGGAGCGGCAGACGGGUGAGUAACGCGUGGGAAUCUACCCAUCUCUACGGAACAACUCCGGGAAACUGGAGCUAAUACCGUAUACGUCCUUCGGGAGAAAGAUUUAUCGGAGAUGGAUGAGCCCGCGUUGGAUUAGCUAGUUGGUGGGGUAAUGGCCUACCAAGGCGACGAUCCAUAGCUGGUCUGAGAGGAUGAUCAGCCACACUGGGACUGAGACACGGCCCAGACUCCUACGGGAGGCAGCAGUGGGGAAUAUUGGACAAUGGGCGCAAGCCUGAUCCAGCCAUGCCGCGUGAGUGAUGAAGGCCCUAGGGUUGUAAAGCUCUUUCAACGGUGAAGAUA